rnacentral:tRNA from 1 species
GGCCCCUUGGCUCAGUGGUUAGAGCAGGCGACUCAUAAUCGCUUGGUCGCUGGUUAAAAUCCAGCAGGGGCCACCA